GUUUAACGCCGUUGACUUUUUUACACAUGUUUGACCGUCCGUCUUAUUCAAAAAAUUUACGAAAUUAUUAAUUCUUUUUCUAUCAUUUAAUUCAUUGUUAAAUAAACUUUUAUGCACAUAUAUAAUUUUAUAUAUUUCAUAAAAGUUUUUGAAUAAGACGGACAGUCAAACAUGUGUCAAAAAAUUAACGGCGUCAAACAUU
rnacentral:pre_miRNA from 1 species